rnacentral:tRNA from 1 species
UGCGGGGUAGGGCAGUUCGGUAGCCCGCCAGGCUCAUAACCUGGAGGUCGUGGGUUCGAAUCCUACCCCUCGCAACGA